UCUUGUCACUCUGUCAAUUAACUCAGAAGGACUUCUAAGGAUAAAUCUUGCCACCAUCUACAGCAGGUUCACUGAAGCUUCUUCACAACCAAAACAAAGUUGGAUUAUUUCCUCGCUUUUUCACUACAUUUCUCAGGAUUUCCAAGGACCCCUAAGGACUAUUUCAGCCAGACCUGUCACGUUAGUAUGCCAGAGAUCCGGCACGGUGCCGGAAUACUAUCAGCCCUGUAGGAGUAGAGAGGAGAGAGCAUGGCCAAUUGUGCUCCCUCGGACUCCGGCUGCUGAUGGAGAAGCAAUGUGAUCUGGGAUCUUAUAAAAGGUAUAAUUUUGACAAGCCAGUCCCAAGCACUACCAUCCAGAGGUAAUGACUGUAAUUUAAUCCCAGUUAUAUGACUCCAUUCU